UACAGAGGUCCCAAGCGUUGUUCGGAUUCACUGGGCGUAAAGGGUGCGUAGGUGGCGAGGUAAGUCGGAUGUGAAAUCUCCAAGCUUAACUUGGAAAUGGCAUUGGAAACUACCUUGCUUGAGGGUCGGAGGGGGGACUGGAAUUCUCGGUGUAGCAGUGAAAUGCGUAGAUAUCGAGAGGAACACCUGCGGCGAAGGCGGGUUGCUGGGCUGACACUGACGCUGAUUGUGCGAAAGCUAGGGGAGCGAACGGG
rnacentral:rRNA from 1 species